AAGCUCGUAGUUGAAUUUCGAGACCGGCUUACUGGUCGUGCUUUUGUACGUACUGGUAUAAUCGGUUUCUCCUUUCUGACGAACUAUAAUGCCAUUAAUUUGGUGUUAUAGGGAAUCAGGACUGUUACUUUGAAAAAAUUAGAGUGUUUAAAGCAGGCUCACGCUUGAAUACAUUAGCAUGGAAUAACGGAAUAGGACGUUCGAUCUUAUUUUGUUGGUUUCUAAGAUUGACGUAAUGAUUAAUAGGGAUAGUUGGG
rnacentral:rRNA from 1 species